CUGACACAGGUGGCUGCAUGGCUGUCGUCAGCUCGUGUCGUGAGAUGUUGGGUUAAGUCCGUACGAGCGCAACCCUUGUCCUUAGUUACCAGCACGUUAUGGUGGGCACGUCUAAGGAGGACUGCCGGUGGACAAACCGGAGGAAGGUGGGGGAUGACGUCAAGUCAUCAUGGCCCUUACGGCCUGGGCUACACACGGUGCUACAAUGGUCGGUACAAAGGGUUGCCAAGCCGCGAGGUGGAGCUAAUCCCAUAAAACCGAUCGUAGUCCGGAUCGCAGUCUGCAACUCGACUGCGUGAAGUCGGAAUCGCUAGUAAUCGUGAAUCAGAAUGUCACGGUGAAUACGUUCCCGGGCCUU
rnacentral:rRNA from 1 species